rnacentral:rRNA from 1 species
GGCUUAGAGUUUGAUCAUGGCUCAGGAUGAACGCUAGCUACAGGCUUAACACAUGCAAGUCGAGGGGCAUCAGGAAGAAAGCUUGCUUUCUUUGCUGGCGACCGGCGCACGGGUGAGUAACACGUAUCCAACCUGCCCUUUACUCGGGGAUAGCCUUUCGAAAGAAAGAUUAAUACCCGAUAGUAUAAUGAUUCCGCAUGGUUUCAUUAUUAAAGGAUUCCGGUAAAGGAUGGGGAUGCGUUCCAUUAGGUUGUUGGUGAGGUAACGGCCCACCAAGCCUUCGAUGGAUAGGGGUUCUGAGAGGAAGGUCCCCCACAUUGGAACUGAGACACGGUCCAAACUCCUACGGGAGGCAGCAGUGAGGAAUAUUGGUCAAUGGGCGUUAGCCUGAACCAGCCAAGUAGCGUGAAGGAUGAAGGCUCUAUGGGUCGUAAACUUCUUUUAUAUAAGAAUAAAGUGCAGUAUGUAUACUGUUUUGUAUGUAUUAUAUGAAUAAGGAUCGGCUAACUCCGUGCCAGCAGCCGCGGUAAUACGGAGGAUCCGAGCGUUAUCCGGAUUUAUUGGGUUUAAAGGGAGCGUAGGUGGACUGGUAAGUCAGUUGUGAAAGUUUGCGGCUCAACCGUAAAUUGCAGUUGAUACUGUCAGUCUUGAGUACAGUAGAGGUGGGCGGAAUUCGUGGUGUAGCGGUGAAAUGCUUAGAUAUCACGAAGAACUCCGAUUGCGAAGGCAGCUCACUGGACUGCAACUGACACUGAUGCUCGAAAGUGUGGGUAUCAAACAGGAUUAGAUACCCUGGUAGUCCACACAGUAACGAUGAAUACUCGCUGUUUGCGAUAUACAGUAAGCGGCCAAGCGAAAGCAUUAAGUAUUC